rnacentral:rRNA from 1 species
CUCGUAGUUGAACCUUGGUCCUGGCUGGCUGGUCCGCCUCACCGCGUGCACUGGUCCGGCCGGGGCUUUCCCUCUGGGGAGCCGCAUGCCCUUUACUGGGUGUGUCGGGGAACCAGGACGUUUACUCUGAACAAAUUAGAUCGCUUCAAGAAGGCCUAUGCUCGAAUAGUCUAGCAUGGAAUAAUGGAAUAGGAUGUGUGGUUCUAUUUUGUUGGUUUCUAGGACCGCCGUAAUGAUUAAUAGGGACAGUCGGGGGCAUCAGUAUUCAAUUGUCAGAGGUGAAAUUCUUGGAUUUAUUGAAGACUAACUACUGCGAAAGCAUUUGCCAAGGAUGUUUUCAUUAAUCAGGAACGAAAGUCAGGGGAUCGAAGACGAUCAGAUACCGUCGUAGUCUUGACCGUAAACUAUGCCGAUUAGGGAUCGGACGGCGUUAUUUUUUGACCCGUUCGGCACCUUACGAAAAAUCAAAAUGUUUGGGCUCCUGGGGAAGUAUGGUCGCAAGACUGAAACUUAAAGAAAUUGACGGAAGGGCACCACCAGGGGUGGAGCCUGCGGCUUAAUUUGACUCAACACGGGAAACUCACCAGCUCCAGACACAAUAAGGAUUGACAGAUUGAGAGA